GCCGCGAAAGCAUAAACACGAGAUGCGCCCGCCUUGUAAGCGGGAGAUCCCGGUGCAAUUCCCGGGCGCGGCUCCA
rnacentral:tRNA from 1 species